UGAGAUGUUGGGUUAAGUCCCGCAACGAGCGCAACCCUUGUCUUUAGUUGCCAUCAUUAAGUUGGGCACUCUAGAGAGACUGCCAGGGAUAACCUGGAGGAAGGUGGGGAUGACGUCAAAUCAUCAUGCCCUUUAUGCUUAGGGCUACACACGUGCUACAAUGGGUAGUACAGAGGGUUGCCAAGCCGUAAGGUGGAGCUAAUCCCUUAAAGCUACUCUCAGUUCGGAUUGUAGGCUGAAACUCGCCUACAUGAAGCUGGAGUUACUAGUAAUCGCAGAUCAGAAUGCUGCGGUGAAUGCGUUCCCGGGUCUUGUACACACCGCCCGUCACACCACGGGAGUUGGAGACGCCCGAAGCCGAUUAUCUAACCUUUUGGAAGAAGUCGUCGAAGGUGGAAUCAAUAACUGGGGUGAAGUCGUAACAAGGUAGCCGUAUCGGAAGGUGCGGCUGGAUCACCUCCUUUCUAAGGA
rnacentral:rRNA from 1 species